AUAGUUCGGUUCGGUUCGGGUAAAUGGUUCAGUCAACUGGGUUCGGCUCGGGUCAGUGCGAGUAAACACAGCCAACGGGUCAGUUGCGGGUUUUCGGCUCGGUUUCGGGUCUUGGUCAAAGGCAGUCAACGAGUCAAUGGUUCGGUCAAUUCAGUCAACGCAAGUCAACUCUGGUCAACCAGUCAACUGUCGGGUCAACUGGUCAAACGCAAGACGCGGGAUACGGUAGAUGCACGCUAGCUAAUACACGUUCUUGGAACGACACUACGGAAUCACACUAAGCUAGCUUUGCACAGGAAUAUCAAGGUUGCAUUUUUAAAACUAUGGAACGGUUGGAAUAGGAGGA